CCCAAAUGUCACAAAUCCGCCGCUCGUCAUCCUCUUCUUCUUCAUCUUUCGUCUCAUCCAGAAUGCUUUAAUUAUAAGGGCCCCCCUUUCGAUGCAAAUUUGUUAGGAUUGUGAUGACUUUUCUGAUUUUGGUCUUGUUUUUGAUGGAUGGAUUAAGCUUUCAAUCUCUUGGUUCUUUGGGUGAAUGCCCCAUUGUCUGAUCUCCACUCUCUUUCCAGUAGGGCUAUAAGUGAGUGAUUCAACAAGCUCUGAAUCCUCUAUUUUUGUCAUGAGAGUUCCUGUUUCUUUUUUUAUGUACAUGUCAUUAUGUUGUA